CCAGGCGAGGCAGUCAUUUGAGAGUUAAACUUGAGAGCUUGCGAGUGUGACUUUGAACUGCUUUUCUGCAUGCAGUAAAUCAAUUUGAGAGCAGAGAUUUUUGUUCACCUGAAGAAAUACAUACUACAUGUCAAGACUGCACUCUCACAAAUACGACGCGUCCCCACAUGGAUGUCUUUUCUCCCUCUCACACCAACUUUCCAGUUUCCUCUCCAAAAUCCAUUUUGCUCUCACAACCGCUUACUAUAAUUGAAUAAUAGGUAUAAUUCUAGCCAAUGAACAUAGCCUGUAGCAGUCUACUGAAACGCAAUUGGUCAAGUUUUUGGACCAAUCGCGUCUUGACUGCCCUCUAAUCUGAUUUUUUACGAUAGAGAUGAAAGGGGACGGUGAAAGGUGAAUGAUGUCUGACAAUGAAGAGGUAAGUUCCAUAGUUUUUCAGUAGAGAAACUAGCUAGCUAAUUAACUAUGAUUUCAAUAUUGAAAUUGAGUAAGUAGUUAUUUGAUCUUCUGUUAUUAAAGCAGGCUAUUGAUGAGGCAAGCUAGGUUAACAUCAGCUAGCUAGGAAGCUAACUAGCUAACGGUAGCUAGCUAGCUAACAUUUAACCAUGUGGUUUAACUACUGGAUCAGUGUCCCGAAAUCGGGAGAGUUGCUGUUCGAUAUGCGAUAUUUGACUAGAAUGGCGUUGUAAACAAAAGCCAACUUUCUGGGACAUAGACAUGUCUUAUAUGGUCAGAAAGCUUAAAUUAUUGUUAAUCUAACUGCAGUGUCUAAUUUACAGUAGCUAUUACAGUGAACAAAUACCAAGCUAUUGUUUGAGGAUAGUGCACAACAACAAAACACUUUUAUCAAGGCAACUGCUUUGAUACAUUCACCUGACGGUAUAUAAUUUACUUACAUUCAGUAAUCUUGCUCUGAUUUGUCAUCCUGAGGGUCCCAGAGAUAAAAUGUAGCAUUGUUUUGUUUGAUGAAAUCAAUUUUUAUACCCUAACACGAUCCAUGUUGUAUACAGCGUUUCGCAUGAAUUCCAACUCUUUCAACUUGCAACAAAACAAUCUAUGAAAUCUAAACAGCUAAACUUUGUUUCACCCGGUCAAGGUCAGUUUUUGUGCAAUCUUCAGACACUCUAGAAGGUAACCAAACAUUGUUUCAUCAUUCUACAUUACGUAUUGGCUACACAACAUGUCUAAUAGCCCACAAAGGACAGCCAUCAUAACGCACCAAUGAGACGGGCGGUGUUCCCUUGAUUGACAGUCUCUUGGUCCAAUGACCACCUAUCGUUUUCAAACAUAGCUAGUUAGAUAGCCAAUGAGCUGGGCUUUACAUGAGUAUGUGAUGGCCCUUUGUUGGAGUAAUGGCCAUUGUCAUAUGGCUGUGCGCAACGCGAUUCAUUCUCCAUUGAAAAUCUACAGGACACAGGGGAGUUUACGUUACGCAGCGCUCGCUUUCUUCUACAAAGUUUUCUCAAACUUAAAAACUACAACAUGGCUACUAACAGGAUAAACUUCAAGUAUACACAUUUGGACGAGAUUAUUGCAGAAAUUGACCGGGAGAGUGACACGAGGAGUCCUGCGCAUAAGAAAGAUUGAAUGGAGAAGGUAACCUUGUCUUUUUAAAUCAAGAGUAAGAUGACCUGUGGGAGCCAACUUCAAAGACACCUCAUUCAAGUCCAUCCCCCACUCAUUCAAAUGUAGGAACUGGUUUCCCCAGUCAGACCCCUCUGCUGUCUCUGGCUCCGCACCCACCCCUGUCCCGGCCAUCUAGAGGUGUGAAGGUCCACUGUCACUAAUGGUGGUGAAGUUCUCUGCUCAGCUGACAGAAACAGGAGAUACAGGAGUCCAUUCUGUUCCAAAUAGCUUACCUAGGCUCUCCUCCAGGCACAACUCCAUAGUGUUUGUUCCUCUCAUUUCUUUGAUGCUGUAUGAAGGCAUUGUGCAUAGGACAUUUGUCACGUAGAGAGAUGAUGACCAGCUGCUGUCUAUUGGUUAGAAAGAUACAUUCUGUAUAGAACUAUGUGAUAGUCAUUGGUAAAGAAUAUGAGCAGUGUAGGUAAAGGAAGAAGUGAAAACCUAGAGGAGGAUAGCUUUCCCACGAGGUGGGUUAGGCAUGAAAUGACAGCAGGCUGUUUAGUACUGAGCCAAGUUGACUCACAAGUGGUGUGUAUUGGUACAGGGUAAUUCUACAGUAAGAGUGAUGCUGACAUACAAUUUAAAAUGUAUGUCAAAGAAACCAAUGAUUGCAAAUUGUUAAAAUUAGUACUUGUGCAUAGUUGUAUGGUUUGUUUCACUUUGAAAUCAUUGGUCUUUGUUUGACAUACAGUACCAGUCAAAAGUUUGGAUAUACCUACUCAUUCAAGGGUUUUUCUUUAUU